AUGAGCCUCCAUUCUCUCGGCGGCUCAGAGGAGGGCGACGGGGCGGGAUGGAAGCGGCAAACACCCCGGCAAUAUUCCGGCGUGCUGUCCUCUCCCUCCCACGCUCUCUCCGACGGCCUCGCACUCCAUCUACGCCAAUCUCCCGCUCGCCCAGGCCGACCUCGUCCUCUUCAACAAGCUCCACCUCGGCCAGUUCGUCGACAUAGACCGCUUCGACCCGACCCGGCCUACCCCGUCCCGUCAUCGUCGAUGCCAGGCCGCCCUAGGGGCGCCACCCCCGCUCAUCGUCGGCACGCCCUACCCGGCCGCCAGGGCGAAGCCCGCCGCGCCGCGCAGGGGAUCCUGGGGCCCGGAGCUAUCAAGCCAUUGCAGUCAACUUCGACGCCGACAGAACGCCGAUCAAGGAGCGGCCGGCCUUGGCGACGCCAGUCAAGGAGCGGGCGGGCGCGGCCACGCCUGUCAGGCAGCGGGGCGUCGCGGCGUCACCAGCGCUGAGCUCCGCGUUGGUGAGCAAGAGCACCAGCGUGCUGCCCAGGCUGACCAGGAGCAAGAGCUUCGUCGCAGAAAGGGAGAACCAUCCCAAGAUCCCCAAGAUCCGAAUCCCCUCUGAGAAGAGCUAAGUGAGCUGCACAGCCUUGCGAGCGAUGAGGACAGUGGUGAAGGAGGUCUAGGAGGUGGCCUGGCGUCCUCAAGAGCUCCAACAGCCUGUCCAGCUACCACGAGCACGAGAUGCUCAAGCAGACGAUGCUCAUGUACUCUGUCUCCCCCCCAGAGCUUCAGUACGCACGCACGCUAUCCUUAGUUCUCCUUAAUUAUUACUACCUCUUUCAGCAAGUGCAAUCGAUCAAGAUCAGGGUGAAGUUGCUGAUCAAGACCAGGGUGAAGUUGCUGAAGAAAAUGGCUGAUUAGGACCUGCUGAUUAGCCACGCGAAAGCAAGAAUGAAAGAUGCUGAUUAGGACCUUGUAAUUGUUCUGAAAAAAACGCAAAUCAUGAAAUCUUCAUUGUAGCCUUUUAGGACAACUGUCCAUGACUUCAUGGACAGUUAUCUGGUUAUGGAUCUGUAUGCAUUUAGGAUGGAACCCCCCUGCUAAAUGAAGAAUUCCAAAUUAUUAGUCAAUGAUUUACUAAUUGCAUUCUUCUUCUUUUUCAAUUUUGAUAGGAUCUUACGUCAGGGAAAUAAUAGUAGGGAAGCAGCUCCAUAGGACAAUAUUGUUGUAUCGCUGUUUGACAGAAAAGCCCUUCAGAAUGAAGAGCUCUAAGUCUGGGUUUAAAAACUUAAAGGCAGACUAGGUUGGGAAGGUUUUAUUUGGCGCAUAAUUCUUUGGAAAAUGUUUGCAAUUUAUUGAUCUGAGUAUGACAUGCACAAACAGAGAAGACCCAUACAUCUAGGCAAUAUCUGAUUGCAUUAUAUCUAGACAACAUCUGAUUGCAUUACAGCUACCUGAACUUGUAUCAAAUCAGAGAAGACCCAUACAUCUAGACAAGAGUAGCUUAUUGUUGUGCCUCGAAGUAUUAUCGCAAACUUGUAUCAAAUCAGAGAAGACCCAUACAUCUAGACAAGAAUAGUUUCUUCAAAUUAGGCAUCUUGGCUUAAUGUAUGGGCCUCCACUGAACUCUCUGUGGUUUGUAUUUUCUCAAUGUUGUUACCCGCUCAGAUUGCAGUGUUCUUGAUAUGACGACAUUUUAAUAUGGGUUGUUAAGGCAUGCAAUUAUGUUGUAUUGUUUAACUUUCUUAUCCCCUAUUGAGCAUAUGUGUGCAGACCAAGGCUAUGAUGCUAUCUUAUAGAAAGGGGUCAUUAAUGCUGAGCUGAAUAUUACACUCAACGAUUGCUCGAAAUAACCCUCAGAGACAGCCGCCCCUUUAUUAGCAUGAUGAUGGGCCGAAAGAACGGCGCGCCAGCUUAUUGCAAUUACGUGAUGAUGGUGACAGCAUGCUCGUGGACUGCGAAGGAAUCAGCGUGGAAGCUCAUGGCGAGCUCGAGCUCAGCAUCCUCGCCAUGGCGCUAGAGGACCCUUGCAGCCCAAUUUGCGUACUCAAGGGCGCGCAGCCCUGCUACCAUGUUCUCCAUUGCCUGUGGCCCAUGGAAGAACUGGAGAAUCUGCAAUGGAGAUGCAUCUGUGUGAUACUUGCGACAAUGGUGGCUUCAAAAUAUCUGUUGAAGAUAGGAGAUACAUGAGAGCUUGCAAAGCUGUUGUGUCUACCUGCGUAUUUGGUGGUGGGGAUGAUCUAUAUCAACCUAUUGGAAUGGCCAAUUCUACUAUGGUCAGGGUUUGCUACAUGGCUUUCUUGGAUGAGGUGACACUAUCAACUCAGGAAGCUGAAGGAAGGUAGUUGGUGACAAUGGAAUGGUAGGAAGGUGGCGUAUCAUUAUUGUCAAGAGCCUCCCUUUUGUGGAGCAACAAUUAAAUGGGAAGAUAGCGAAGGUAAAAAACCUAAAAUUGACAUAAUCUAUCCUU